rnacentral:rRNA from 1 species
CGAACGCUGGCGGCGUGCUAACACAUAGCAAGUCGAACGCGAAAGGGACUUCGGUCCUGAGUAAAGUGGCGCACGGGUGAGUAACGCGUAGAUAACCUGUCUUCAUGUCUGGAAUAAUACGCCGAAAGGGGUACUAAUACCGGAUAUUCUUGCUUUUUCAUAAGUUGUGCAAGCAAAGGUGGCCUCUGCAUAUGCUACUGCAUGAAGAGGGGUCUGCGUACCAUUAGCUAGUAGGUGGGGUAAUGGCCUACCUAGGCGACGAUGGUUAGCGGGUCUGAGAGGAUGAUCCGCCACACUGGCACUGGAACACGGGCCAGACUCCUACGGGAGGCAGCAGUGAGGAAUAUUGCGCAAUGGGGGAAACCCUGACGCAGCGACGCCGCGUGAGUGAAGGAAGGCCUUCGGGUCGUAAAGCUCUGUCAAGAGGAAAGAAGUGUACAAUGGCUAAUACCUGUUGUAUUUGACGGUACCUCUAAAGGAAGCACCGGCUAACUCCGUGCCAGCCGCUGC